CGGCAGCGAGCCGAAACGUCUUGGAAGCAGGGGCGGCGUGCCGUCGGUGUCGAUCUCCACCUGGAUUGAUUCGAAGCGCGGCAGCGUAGUGCUUGACGAGGGGCGCGACGUCCAUGGCGCUCAAGCUUCGGCGACCAUGCUGUUCAGGAACAAACAACUUACUCCGCAACGACGACGACCACCAUCCCUCUGACCACCAUGCCUUUUUACCACUAUGCAGAUGCUAGAGGCUAGGCGUCGACACCUCCGGCCUCAUGGCACUCCGUGCAAAGCCAAGGCAGGUGACACUCCUUGCAAUUGUUUGUAUGCUUGCAUUGGAGUAAAUGGUCAUGUGAUUUCUGCUGCAUGGUGAUGCUAUUUUAACAAUCUUGUUCAGUUUGCAGUACCAAGUUGGCACCCUCUUAUCCUCUACAGGUACUAUAUUGGUUAAGCAAGAGGUAUUGUCUUUCCUAGCCAUCAGCAUUAUUUUGAUCUCUAUGCUAGCAUAAUACAAAUCAAAAGUUAAAUCAAUUGAUAAUGUUCUUCUUCUGACUGAAUAAAUUCAUUUUUAGACAGUUAGUGGCAGGGGCAGUUGGUCAGAUAUAAAGCCUUCUGGUAAACCUGGCCGAUUUGAUGGUCGAAGUAGCUACUGAUUUGCUAACGGUUCACUGCUUUGCAAGAUGAAACUGGCCCAUAUUCGUCCCGCACAUAGCUGACUCGUGCUGGAAAGACUGGAUUCCCUCAAGAAAAAAAUAUUGAGACUGAUGGUGGCAGAAUGAAAAAGAAGCUUGGCCAUCUCUUCUAUUACUGUUGCUGGCAUUAGGCCUCAAGGUGGUUUGGCCUAUCAAUCGUCUGGAUGAUGAUUAUGGUGUGGAGGCUGUCGGGCUGCAGUUCCAUGGAGUUCUAUGCCUCCAUAGGAAGUGGAUACAAUUGAAGCGCCAUAUACAAUUCACCGACCUCGCCGUGAUGAGAGAGAAGGUGGCCACCAAUAGUAGAUAUUCGAGCUAAGGAGUAACACGACACAAAGGACUGUUGGUUGAUAAGAUUCAUCCACAUACCAUGUCAAUAUUCUUGGACAAGUACGUAUAGUGUUUUCUACCCUCUAGGACUUUGGUAACUUAUUAUUAGGUUGAUUUUUAGUCUUUGGGAGUUUGAUAGCAGAUUUUUAGUUUGAUCUUUAGUCUACAGAUCCAAAGGAGAUCAUAUGGCAUAUAGAGUUUUACUUCAAACUUUGUAAAGGAUACUCAGAUGUGUACACAUUAGAUGGCCACUUGCUAUAAAAACAUAAGCCGUGGCUGGGAGAUAAGUUAUUUUGUCAUACAUAACAAACUCCCACUUCCACUUUAGGUC